rnacentral:tRNA from 1 species
UUAAUAGAAGCCAAAGAGAGGCAUUUCAUUGUUAAUGAAAAUAAUGGUUAAUAAACCCUAUUAAA